GGGUUGUGAGGUUAAGCGACUAAGCGUACACGGUGGAUGCCCUGGCAGUCAGAGGCGAUGAAGGGCGUGCUAAUCUGCGAUAAGCGCCGGUAAGGUGAUAUGAACCGUUAUAACCGGCGAUACCCGAAUGGGGAAACCCAGUGUGAUUCGUCACACUAUCAUUAACUGAAUCCAUAGGUUAAUGAGGCGAACCGGGGGAACUGAAACAUCUAAGUACCCCGAGGAAAAGAAAUCAACCGAGAUUCCCCCAGUAGCGGCGAGCGAACGGGGAGGAGCCCAGAGCCUGAAUCAGCAUGUGUGUUAGUGGAAGCGUCUGGAAAGGCGCGCGAUACAGGGUGACAGCCCCGUACACAAAAGCGCAUGUGCUGUGAGCUCGAUGAGUAGGGCGGGACACGUGGUAUCCUGUCUGAAUAUGGGGGGACCAUCCUCCAAGGCUAAAUACUCCUGACUGACCGAUAGUGAACCAGUACCGUGAGGGAAAGGCGAAAAGAACCCCGGCGAGGGGAGUGAAAAAGAACCUGAAACCGUGUACGUACAAGCAGUGGGAGCACCCUUUGGGUGUGACUGCGUACCUUUUGUAUAAUGGGUCAGCGACUUAUAUUCUGUAGCAAGGUUAACCGAAUAGGGGAGCCGGAGGGAAACCGAGUCUUAACCGGGCGUUAAGUUGCAGGGUAUAGACCCGAAACCCGGUGAUCUAGCCAUGGGCAGGUUGAAGG
rnacentral:rRNA from 4 species